rnacentral:sRNA from 1 species
GUCAGCACCCCGCUCUGAAGAUACGGGGCUUCAUGCCUCUGAUUUGGAUAGCUGACCAGCCUAAGCCUUAACUGGCUACGUUAUCGGGAAGCGUUAAAGUUCUUACCUUGGGAUGCGUAGCUAGUCCCAAGCUCUAAAACUCGAAAGUUAAACAGUUUUACGAGGGGUAAGACAGUGCUUUCAAGAUAGUACCGACCGAUAACAUUGGCGAAGCUAACAUUACCUGAGAAAUCAG